GAGUUUGAUCUUGGCUCAGAUUGAACGCUGGCGGCAUGCCUUACACAUGCAAAGUCGAGACGGCAGCGUCGGGGGCAACCCUGGCGGCGAGCGGCGAACGGGUGAGUAAUACAUCGGAACGUGCCCAGGUAGUGGGGGAUUAGCCCGGCGAAAAGCCGGACUUAAUACCGCAUACGACCUAUGGGUGAAAGCGGGGGAUCGCAAGACCUCGCGCUAUUGGAGCGGCCGAUGUCAGAUUAGGUAGUUGGUGGGGUAAAGGCCUACCAAGCCUUCGAUCUGUAGCUGGGUCUGAGAGGGAUCGAUCAGCCACAUUGGGACUGAGACACGGCCCAAACUCCUACGGGAGGCAGCAGUGGGGAAUAUUGGACAAUGGGCGAAAGCCUGAUCCAGCCAUGCCGCGUGAGUGAU
rnacentral:rRNA from 1 species